rfam:Rubidibacter lacunae KORDI 51-2 KR51_contig00099, whole genome shotgun sequence.
GGUCAAGCUACCAAGAGCUAACGGUGGAGCCCUAGGCACGCAGAGGCGAAGAAGGACGUGGCGACCGACGAAACGCUCCGGGGAGCUGGAAGCAAGCUAUGAGCCGGAGGUCUCCGAAUGGGGCAACCCCAAGAACGAUUGACUGAAUCCAUAGGUCAAUACGAGCGAACCCGGCGAACUGAAACAUCUUAGUAGCCGGAGGAAAAGAAAGCAACAGCGAUUCCCUGAGUAGCGGCGAGCGAAACGGGACGAGCCUAAACCAACUGCUGCGGCGGUUGGGGUCGUGGGACAACUACAAGUGUUUGCCCAAGCUAGACGAAGCAGCUGAAAACUGCACCCAAGAAGGUAAAAGUCCUGUAGUCGAAAGCAGCAGCAACACAGUUGAAUCCCGAGUAGUCUGGGGCACGUGAAAUCCCGGAUGAAUCAGCGAGGACCACCUCGUAAGGCUAAACACUACUGCGUGACCGAUAGCGAACCAGUACCGCGAGGGAAAGGUGAAAAGAACCCCGGCGAGGGGAGUGAAAUAGAACGUAAAACCGUUAGCUUACAAGCAGUGGAAGCCCGAUUGAACGGGUAACCGCGUGCCUGUUGAAGAAUGAGCCAGCGAGUGACAGGGCGUGGCAGGUUAAGGUGUGCAGCACCGCAGCCCGAGCGAAAGCGAGUCCGAAUAGGGCGUAAGUCACGUUUUGUCGACCCGAACCCGGGUGAACUAACCAUGUCCAGGAUGAAGCUUAGGUAACACUAAGUGGAGGUCCGAACCGACCAACGUUGAAAAGUUGGCGGAUGAGGUGUGGUUAGCGGUGAAAUGCCAAUCGAACUCGGAGCUAUCUGGUUCUCCCCGAAAUGCGUUUAGGCGCAGCCGUUACGGAGUCCUGCCGGGGGUAAAGCACUGUUUCGCUGCGGGCUGCGAGAGCGGUACCAAAGCGAGGCAAACUCAGAAUACCGGUAGGUUAGUAACGAGUGAGACGGUGGGGGAUAAGCUUCAUCGUCGAGAGGGAAACAGCCCAGACCGCCAGCUAAGGUCCCCAAGUGGAUGCUAAGUGAUAAAGGAGGUGGGAAUGCAUAGACAACCAGGAGGUUUGCCUAGAAGCAGCAAUCCUUGAAAGAGUGCGUAAUAGCUCACUGGUCAAGCGUUCCGGCGCCGAAAAUGAACGGGGCUAAGCAUCCCACCGAAGCUGCGGACUAUGUGGUAGGGGAGCGUUCUGUCAGUGGAGAAGCCCUAGCGGCAAGCAGGGGUGGAGCGGACAGAAGUGAGAAUGUUGGCUUGAGUAGCGAAAACUUUGGUAAGAAUCCAAAGCCCCGAAACCCUAAGGGUUCCUCCGGAAGGCUCGUCCGCGGAGGGUUAGUCGGGUCCUAAGGCGAGGUCGAAAGGCGUAGUCGAUGGAUACAGGGUUAAUAUUCCCUGACUGCCGAGCUGGAGCGGCUUGGGGACGCAUGACAGCUAGCCACACCCUGAUUGGAUUGGGAGGGGACUACGGUCCCUGCGUGGUGAAGGAUAGUGCCAAGAAAAGCCAAGUCCGUGUUGAAAGCCGGUACCCGUACCCGAAACCGACACAGGUAGGGUGGUAGAGCAUACUAAGGGGCGCGAGGUAACUCUCUCCAAGGAACUCGGCAAAAUAACCCCGUAACUUCGGAAGAAGGGGUGCCACCGAGAGGUGGUCGCAGUGAAGAGGCCCAGGCGACUGUUUACCAAAAACAUAGGUCUCUGCUAACUCGCAAGAGGAUGUAUAGGGGCUGACGCCUGCCCAGUGCCGGAAGGUUAAGGAAGCUGGUUAGGGUAACCGAAGCUAGCGACCGAAGCCCCGGUGAACGGCGGCCGUAACUAUAACGGUCCUAAGGUAGCGAAAUUCCUUGUCGGGUAAGUUCCGACCCGCACGAAAGGCGUAACGAUCUGGGCACUGUCUCGGAGAGAGGCUCGGCGAAAUAGGAUUGUCUGUGAAGAUACGGACUACCUGCACCUGGACAGAAAGACCCUAUGAAGCUUGACUGUAACCUGGAAUGGGGUUUCGGCUUGGUCUGCGCAGGAUAGGUGGGAGGCGAUGAAAAGAUGCUUGUGGGCAUCUGGGAGCCGCUGGUGAGAUACCACUCUGACGAAGCUGACAUUCUAACCCUUACCCGUCAUCCGGGAAGGGAACAGUUUCAGGCGGGCAGUUUGACUGGGGCGGUCGCCUCCUAAAUGGUAACGGAGGCGCGCCAAGGUUCCCUCAGGCUGGUUGGAAAUCAGCCGAAGAGUGCAAAGGCAGAAGGGAGCUUGACUGCAAGACCUACAAGUCGAGCAGGGACGAAAGUCGGCCUUAGUGAUCCGACGGCACUGUGUGGAAGGGCCGUCGCUCAACGGAUAAAAGUUACUCUAGGGAUAACAGGCUGAUCUCCCCCAAGAGUUCACAUCGACGGGGAGGUUUGGCACCUCGAUGUCGGCUCAUCGCAACCUGGGGCUGGAGUAGGUCCCAAGGGUUGGGCUGUUCGCCCAUUAAAGCGGUACGUGAGCUGGGUUCAGAACGUCGUGAGACAGUUCGGUCCAUAUCCGGUGCAGGCGUAAGAGCAUUGAGAGGAGCCUUCCUUAGUACGAGAGGACCGGGAAGGACGCACCGCUGGUGUACCUGUUAUCGUGCCAACGGUAAACGCAGGGUAGCUAAGUGCGGAGUGGAUAACCGCUGAAAGCAUCUAAGUGGGAAGCCCACCUCAAGAUGAGUGCUCUCACUCCUUAAGGAGGUAAGGUCACGGGGAGAACACCCGUUACUAGACGCUAGGUGGAAGUGCGGCAACGUAUGCAGCCGAGGCGUGCUAACAGACCGAGGGCUUGACCUC